UUGUAGACGUUGACAAUUCAGU
rnacentral:siRNA from 1 species